rnacentral:rRNA from 1 species
GGAAUCUUGCGCAAUGGGCGAAAGCCUGACGCAGCCAUGCCGCGUGAAUGAUGAAGGUCUUAGGAUUGUAAAAUUCUUUCACCGGGGACGAUAAUGACGGUACCCGGAGAAGAAGCCCCGGCUAACUUCGUGCCAGCAGCCGCGGUAAUACGAAGGGGGCUAGCGUUGCUCGGAUUUACUGGGCGUAAAGGGCGCGUAGGCGGACAGUUUAGUCAGAGGUGAAAGCCCGGGGCUCAACCUCGGAAUUGCCUUUGAUACUGGCUGUCUUGAGUAUGGAAGAGGUAUGUGGAACUCCGAGUGUAGAGGUGAAAUUCGUAGAUAUUCGGAAGAACACCAGUGGCGAAGGCGACAUACUGGUCCAUUACUGACGCUAAGGCGCGAAAGCGUGGGGAGCAAA